AUCCUGCUGGCUCGGCAAUUGUUCAGAUUCAGCCGGUUUUUGAGCCAGAGUAGCCUCAGGUGAUGCUUUCUUCUCAUCCAAAUGGUUUCCCAUGGGUAAUUCAUGCAAAACCAGAAUCCAGCUGCUGGACUAUUUCCCCAUUUCAGGCAAAACUCCGAUAAUCCACAGUACUAUAGCUUUCAUGUGCUGGGGCACCAUGCCAGUGUUGCAACUGCUGCAGAAGGUCAGUUAAUAUACUUACUCAUGUAUCUCCAGGCUGGUUUUCCAUAUGCAGUAAAGAGAAGCAUGCAGCUUUUUUCUGAAACGUCAUGAAAGAUUACAGUGUAGGAGGUUUCAAGAAGCAUGAUACAAGGAUCUUUGCUGGAUAUAGACUCAUAUAACAUUUUUAUUAGAGAUGUGGGAGUGGAAAGGUAUCAUGCUGAUUGAAUUCACAGGUGUUAUUAAGUUAGGAGACGCGAUGAGUACUAGUACAGACAAUUAUGUAAUGGAGAGGUUAACAAGUAGUGAAAUAAGGUUCAACUUAGGCAAAAGUUAUGUGGGAUAAGCCUUAUUAAAAACCCAUUUUAAGGUCAAAUUCAUUACAUGGCUUUAAUGGUGUGUGGAUCUUAAACAUUUUUAAGGCACAAUGUUUAAAUUUGUUAUUUUGGACACCUGACAUCUCUAGGAAAUAAUUCAACUCAACUGCUGACUCCUAUCACUGCAGAUUCUUUUUGAAGUUUGUGCUGUGAAGACGGUGUAGAGUGUAAGAGUUUCUGUGCCAUCCAGCUUCUUUCCCUUUAGUCUCAUUUCAAAGUCACGUUGAUGAGAACAAACAAAAUUUCUCAAGCAAGAACAAUUGAAAACAAGCUAAUGAGAAAGAGUUUUCUGUUAGUCAAAUUGGCUGCUUCCUUACAGGGGUAUAGCUGCUUCCAUGAAAUAGACUCUUUAGAAUCCACUACUAGAUAUUAUUUCUUUAAUAAUCGUCAUUACACAAAUGCAUAUCCAUACAUAGAAAGUACAAGAAACAUCUAAGUGUGUUUGUCUAUGAAUAGUUGCAGAUGAAUGCUAAAAGUGUAUGCUGUCUGAUUGGAGAAACUGUUGCAUUUCUUACAAUUUAUGCUCUAAUUACAGGCUUUUAAUAUUUUAUAGAGCAAUGGACAUUCCACUUAGAGGCUGAUUUACAGAUAGGCUCAGCACCCCGUAGCUCCUAUUGAACACAGUAGGAUCAGGAGAUCUCCACAAAUCAGAGACCUUCCUCCUCCUAUUUGUAAAUUGGUGAGCAGCAAGUGAGAAUCAAUGUCUGCAAGCUUAGGCAGAGAGGAAGAAAUUCUACGCAGUGUGCAACUAAUCAGUGGUGGAAUCACCGCCAUGGAAAUUGCUGAAGUAAGCCCUUUGGGAGGAUUAAAAAGGGAUUAGGUGUCAGGAACAACAUUUAAGUUUUGCAGCCUUACUACUAAAGAGUUACAAGGGUAAUGAGGCCUCUUGCUUCAGAGCUUAAGCUGAUGAUCUGUGGGGGUCAGGAGAAGAUUGUCAUCUCUAUUGUAAAACAGUCAACAGUUGAGAUAAGACAUCGUUGUUUUCAUAUUAACGCAUUUUGUUCAUAGGAAGGAGAACAUGAGAACAGUGUUCUCCCCUUGUGUGACAAAACCUCUAUUCUCGUGGGUGCAAAUUUAUUCUCCUUUCUGUGAUGCUUUUGGAAUAUGACUUUCCUGAGAGGACAGUGAGGUGGAUAUGUACAGAGGGAAAAGAAUUAUAGUGAACAUGAAUUUACUUCUGAUCUGUACAGCUCUGAAUAAAACUGUUCAUAAC
rnacentral:lncRNA from 7 species